rnacentral:lncRNA from 1 species
UGGCACAUGAUCAACUCUCUGCAGAAUAUGAAUGGAGCGUAAGUAAAAUAUUUCAGCAGUCUAUUUGAUAGAGGUAACAGAUAAUUCUUCUGACAGUUCAAGUUACCUCAGUGAGUUUAUUGUCACAAAGAGAAAAGGCCUCCUGGCAAAACAACAGAUGCAUCAGUAAAUAUACAGCUAUUUAACAGGCAUGCUUCUUACAGUACGGCCAAAACAAUCACAUAAGGCAGUAUACCUCAGACAUCAUCGAAACAUCUGUUGGCUCUAACAGCUGCUGGAGAAGAAGAAGUUCAGAAAUUCAGAAAGUUUUCAGUGUCGAACUCUCGUCAGUUUCGACAGUCGUUUUCCCUCUUUCAGUUAGAAUAACCGAGCUGCGCCUCGGCCGUAGUUUGUUAGCUGUUAUCGCGGCCUUGACUUGAUCGUGGGAUGGCACGAAGUAGUUGGUCAAGGCCGUUAGACGUGCGACGCGCGAGGAUCGCUGGGAUGGCAGCGAUCGUGACUCGGGCCUCGCUAGUUUUCCCUUACUUUCAGGAGUUUCGUUGUAGCUCUGAAUAAAAAGUAACGAGACCAGAAAAGCUGCAGUUGUUCGCAGCGCAAAACACUCUCCCUCACUGCAAUCGUGAUCUCACCUCUCUCUCUACUAUCUCCUCUCCCAACAAGUGGCAUCAGAGCCUGGGGUUUAGGUCCCUGAGAUGGCUGGUGAUGGGGGCAAGAAGAAGGUGGGGGACGCCGACGAUGACGGUAGCAAAGGCUCACCGAAGUACGCAGCCGGCCAAGGGCGCGAGCUGGCACUGGCGAGGCAGUUUGCUCCGGUCACGUCGGGCCACGCCAACGUGCCACCAUUGACCCGCACGAACUACGCCGAGUGGAGUCUCCUGAUGGAGAUCGGCAUGCAGGCGCGAGGGAUGUGGCGCGCGAUUGAGGGUGCGGAGGACCUCGAUGAGGAGUUCGGCUACCGCAACGACAAGGGCGCGAUGGAGUUCAUUCUCCGAUCCAUGCCACCCGAGAUGCUGCCCAUGUUGCGCAAGCACAAAACUUCUCAGGAGUUGUGGGAGGCGAUCCGGGCUAUGCGUGCAGGCUCUGCGCGAGUCCGGGACGCCAAGGCCCAGACCCUCCGAGGACAAUUCGAUCAGCUACGGCACAAGGCUGGUGAGUCCAUUGACGAUCUGGUGAUGCGUCUGACAGGGCUGUGCGCGCGGCUCGGCGAGCUCGGAGAUGAGAUCAGCGACAAACGCGUGAUCCAGAAGUGGCUGCGCAUCGUCCCCAAGCGAUACUCGCAGCUUGCAGUGUUCAUUGACAAUCUGGUCGAUCUGGACACGACGACCAUCGAGGAAAUCAUCGGCCGUUUCAAGGCGGCCGAGGAGCGCUACGAGCUGGACGCCGAGGAGGAGGGCGGCAGCAAGCUCCUGCUCACUCUGGACGAGUGGAACGCGCGCCAAGGACGCGGUGAUCAGGGAGGGUCCUCCAACGGGGGAGCCAACGGCGGCAAGAAGGGGCGAGGAAAGGGUUCCGGCGACCGCGGCAAACCUGCUGCCCGUCCUGGCGGCGGCAAGCCUGCUCCCAGACGCCAGGGCAACUGCAGAUACUGCGGUAUUAGCGGCCAUUGGGUCCGCGAAUGUCGCAAGAAGCAGAAGGAGGAGGGCGGCGGCGGCGAAGUGCACCUUGUGGCUGCUGAAGACGAAGACCCUGCGCUCCUCAUGGCGCAGGUAUCCCCCUUCCCGGCGAGCCCGUGCUGAAACCACCAGGCGUCGAGGUCGUGCAUUUGGACGAGGAGCGCGCUGAUGUGUGCCUCGGCGCUGACGGGGACGUCAAAGAACCCCGUUGGCACCUGGACACUGGCGCAUCCAAUCAUAUGACGGAGAACCCCACAGUGUUCUCCGAGCUGGACCGACACGUCGGCGGCACUGUUCGUUUCUGCGACGGGUCGGUGGUGGAGAUCGAAGGGCGCAGGACGGUGGUGUUCGUCGCACACGGAGGGCGACACCGGGUGCUCUCCAGGGUGUACUACAUACCGCGCCUCCGGACGUCNCGGCAAGGGGCAGAAACCGCCUCUACACCGUCGAGCUGGAGAUCACAAGGCCAGUUUGCCUGACGGCUACGGCUGGGGAGGAUGCAUGGCGCUGGCAUGAGCGCUAUGGGCAUCUCAACUUCAACUCGCUUCGCAGGCUGGCUCAGGGCGACAUGGUACGCGGGUUGCCGGCGGUCGAGCAUGUGGACCAGAUCUGCGAUGGAUGUCUCGUUGGCAAGCAAAGGCGAGCCCCCUUUCCUGCCGAGGCCAUCUAUCGAGCUGGUAACCGCCUUGACCUGGUUCAUGGAGAUCUCUGCGGGCCCAUCUCUCCACCAACACAUGGUGGGAAGAGGUACUUUCUGCUCCUGGUCGAUGACAAAUCUCGUUUUAUGUGGAUUGUCUUGCUGAGGAGCAAGGAUGAAGCCCCGGCGGCGAUCAAGCGCUGGCAAGCUGCUGUCGAGGUGGAGACCUCCAUCAAGCUUCGUGUGCUGCGGACCGACAGGGGUGGCGAGUUCACCUCCACAGAGUUCGGGGAAUACUGUGCAGACCGCGGCGUACGUCGGCAUCUCACCGCACCAUACUCCCCACAGCAGAACGGGGUGGUGGAGCGACGGAACCAGUCCGUCGUGGGCAUGGCACGGUGCCUUCUGAAGUCGAAGGGAGUACCAAACAAGUUUUGGGGGGAGGCGGUGGUUACGGCCGUCCACCUGCUGAACUGUGCGCCGACGAAGGUGGUGCGGGGCAUGACCCCGUACGAGGCGUGGCAUGGGGAGAAGCCUACCGUGGGGUACUUCCGCACGUUUGGAUGCAACGCCCACACCAAGAUCACCAGGCCAGGGGCAAAGAAGCUGGAUGAUCGCAGUCUGCGGACUGUUUUCAUCGGCUACGAGCAUGGGCAAUCCAAGGCCUGGCGUGUUUAUGAUCCUGUGGGCAAGCGAGUUCACGUGACUCGCGACGCCGUUUUUGACGAGACGGCUAGCUGGGAGUGGGAGACUCCGGUGCAGGCGCAGGGCUCUUUCGUCAUCGACUUCACCCCGACUGUGGCCUUGCCACAGGUUGGGGAAACGGAUACGCCAGCACACCCCGCAUCUCCUAUGCACGCGCACACACCUGCGCGGGGCGACGGCGAAGGAGACGGAACCGGGGGGCAGUAUGUCUCUCCCCCUCCAGGAGCUACACCUGACAUGGAGCUGGGUGGCGAUGAAGCACCACGCCGUUAUCGCAUGCUCGACGCUGUUCUUCAGGAAGCAGAGCCAAGCGAAGCGGAAGCAGCUACACUACUCCUGGUGGCCGGGGAAGAGCCAAACACAUUUGAGGAGGCGGAGCCACACACAGCGUGGCGAGAGGCCAUGCUCGAUGAGAUGCAGUCCAUCAUCGACAACCAGACCUGGACACUCACUACUCUUCCCCCGGGCAAGAAGGCAAUCGGGGUGAAGUGGGUCUACAAGCUCAAGAAGAAUUCUGAGGGGGAGAUCAUCAAGCAUAAGGCGAGACUUGUCGCAAAGGGCUACGCGCAGCGACCAGGGGUAGACUACGACGAAGUGUUUGCUCCGGUGGCGCGGCUUGAGUCCGUGCGACUGCUCCUCGCGAUAGCUGCACAAGCAGGAUGGGAGGUUCACCAUCUCGACGUCAAGUCAGCCUUCUUGAAUGGAGAACUGCAGGAGGAGGUUUACAUGGUGCAGCCACCAGGUUUCGAGCGCGCUGGUGAGGAAGGGAAAGUGCUCCGCCUGUCCAAGGCACUCUACGGCCUCUGUCAAGCGCCGCGUGCCUGGAACAUCAAGCUGGACGAGACGCUGGUGUCUUUCGGUUUCCAGCGAAGCCCGUCCGAGCACGCCGUCUACAUGCGGCGCAACGGCGACGAGAGCCUGCUGGUGGGCGUCUAUGUUGACGAUCUCAUCAUCACUGGUUCAAGCAAGGAAGGAAUCCACUGGUUCAAGCAGCAGAUGCCGUCCACUUUCUCCAUGAGUGACCUCGGAUUGCUAAGCUAUUAUCUUGGCAUCGAGGUGCAUCAAGGAGACGAUGCCAUUACUCUCAAGCAAGCGAGCUAUGCGGCAAAGAUCGUGGAAAAGGGAGGAAUGACGGGAUGUCACCCUGUGCAUGUCCCGAUGCAGCCGCGGCUGAAGCUGAGCAAGGAGAGCACAAAUCCACCGAUAGAGAAGAAGCUCUAUCGCAACAUAGUUGGGAGUCUUCGCUAUUUGGUACACACAAGACCUGACAUUGCGUUUGGAGUUGGCUAUGUCAGCAGGUUCAUGGAGGCUCCCACGACUGAGCACUGGGCGGCUGUUAAGCACCUGCUGAGUUACGUGUCUAGAACGCUGAACUAUGGAUGCAAAUACAAGAAGAGGGGUGUCGAGCCACAGCUGGUGGGCUACAGCGACGCAAAUUUUGCUGGAGAUGUUGAUGACAGGAAGAGCAUAUCAGGGACAGUGUUCGUCUAUGGGGGAAGCGCGAUCAGUUGGCAAUCUCAGAAACAGAAAGUGGUUGCUCUCUCCUCCUGCGAAGGCGAAUAUAUGGCAGCAACGACAGCUGCUUGCACUGGUGUCUGGCUCCGGCAAAUGCUCGCAGAUCUUCUCGGGGAACCUCAAAGGAAGACCAUGCUGCUCAUCGACAACAAGUCUGUGAUCCAACUUUGCAAGAACCCUGUCUUUCACGACAAAACCAAGGACAUUGAGACUCGGUUUCACUUCAUUCGCGAGUGUGUGCAGGACGGAAGGGUGGCCGUCGACUAUGUCCACACCGGCGAGCAGCUCGCCGAUAUUCUCACAAAGGCUCUGCCUCGAGAGAAGUUCCAGGAACUGCGAGAGAAGUUGGGCAUGGUAAACCUCAGCAGCUGAUUAGGGGGGAGAUUGUUGGCUCUAACAACUGCUGGAGAAGAAGAAGUUCAGAAAUUCAGAAAGUUUUCAGUGUCGAACUCUCGUCAGUUUCGACAGUCGUUUUCCCUCUUUCAGUUAGAAUAACCGAGCUGCACCUCAGCCGUAGUUUGUUAGCUGUUAUUGCGGCCUUGACUUGAUCGUGGGAUGGCACGAAGUAGUUGGUCAAGGCCGUUAGACGUGCGACGCGCGAGGAUCGCUGGGAUGGCAGUGAUCGUGACUCGGGCCUCGCUAGUUUUCCCUUACUUUCAGGAGUUUCGUUGUAGCUCUGAAUAAAAAGUAACGAGAGCAGAAAAGCUGCAGUUGUUCGCAGCGCAAAACACUCUCCCUCACUGCAAUCGUGAUCUCGCCUCUCUCUCUACUAUCUCCACUCCCAACAACAUCCAGUGCCUCCUUAUACAUGUUCUUCUUGAUAAGAACUUUUGCCUUGUGAUGAAGCAUUAGAGCCAUCUUCAAAGCCCUAGAGAUAACACAGAUGAUGAGCUGGAUAUUAUAAACUACUGUACAUGAGAAACCCAUUGAACAGAAGGUUGCAUAUAUAUUACUCC